rnacentral:rRNA from 1 species
CAGUAGCCGCGGUAAUACAGAGGGUGCGAGCGUUAAUCGGAUUUACUGGGCGUAAAGCGUGCGUAGGCGGCUUCUUAAGUCGGAUGUGAAAUCCCUGAGCUUAACUUAGGAAUUGCAUUCGAUACUGGGAAGCUAGAGUAUGGGAGAGGAUGGUAGAAUUCCAGGUGUAGCGGUGAAAUGCGUAGAGAUCUGGAGGAAUACCGAUGGCGAAGGCAGCCAUCUGGCCUAAUACUGACGCUGAGGUACGAAAGCAUGGGGAGCAAACAGGAUUAGAGACCCCGGUAGUCCCUGUCUCUUAUAA